AUUGAACGCUGGCGGAAUGCUUUACACAUGCAAGUCGAACGGCAGCACGGACUUCGGUCUGGUGGCGAGUGGCGAACGGGUGAGUAAUACAUCGGAACGUGCCCAGUCGUGGGGGAUAACGUAGCGAAAGCUACGCUAAUACCGCAUACGAUCUAAGGAUGAAAGCGGGGGAUCGCAAGACCUCGCUCGAUUGGAGCGGCCGAUGGCAGAGUAGGUAGUUGGUAGGGUAAAGGCCUACCAAGCCGACGAUCUGUAGCUGGUCUGAGAGGAUGAUCAGCCACACUGGGACUGAGACACGGCCCAGACUCCUACGGGAGGCAGCAGUGGGGAAUUUUGGACAAUGGGCGCAAGCCUGAUCCAGCCAUUCCGCGUGCAGGAUGAAGGCCUUCGGGUUGUAAACUGCUUUUGUACAGAACGAAAAGGCUCUGGUUAAUACCCGGGGCUCAUGACGGUACUGUAAGAAUAAGCACCGGCUAACUACGUGCCAGCAGCCGCAGUAA
rnacentral:rRNA from 1 species